ACGAGGUUAGCGAAGCGGCCAUGGCGGGGCUGCUCGGCCAUGGCGCUUCUUUCAACGUGGCCAGGCUGGGAGCACUAGGGUAGCAGCUCACAGCGCUGUCACAGCAAUGUGCUAUCCGAUCGAUCGAUCUGGGUCUCGGGUUUAGUUUCUAGAGGUUUCCGGCUUCUCCACAGCUAGUGGUUUCGUCCUCCGGCCUAUGGCACCGCUAGAAAAUCCUCCAAACCUUGAAGAACAGAUCGAGAUUUAGGAGCAGCGAGAGAUUGCACGAAAGAUCUUGCGUUGGGAGCUCGACCGCAAUUCUGCCUAGCUGCUCUAUCGAAGAUUUGCAAGUCGAGCGUUCAAACAGAGUGCUCAAGAGAUUGAGCUCCGUCCAUAAAUUCAAUCCUUUCUGGGCUCCGACCAAUGUGAUGCCGCGAUUCAAAUUUCUGGCGCUUGGUGCCUCAACAUGGCUUAUGCACAACAAGGGAACUCUUUUGAUUAUAUAUACACAUUUGUGGGCUCAGCUGGAGGCAUUUACAAUAUACAAAUUGAUUUCCUUGUCCUGAUUUUAAUCUUGGAGUCCCUCUCUUUUGCCAAUGUGAAAAUUACUUUUGCCUGUUGAA